AAGCCUUGGUAUGAUUGGGUUCGCCCAGAUCUUGAUCUAGCACCAUUUGGGCGGAUGGUGUCCCACGCCAUAUGUAUACCGCGGCGGGAAGGGCUGUGUAGGGCUCCCGCUCGACUAGUGCCAAAGGUGCUUGAAAAGUUGCUUCAUCACGCGUGCUAGAUGUUGAAGGAAUGGUUCGAAGUUUCAUACUCGUUCAAUUGAUUGCGUCUUGACUUUAUGCUUACCAGUGUUCUUGCGCUCCUGCCUAGCCGUAAAUGGGAAAUAUCGUGUAGUAAAAUUGAAUGAAGAGAGAUGCACUCCUUAAAUAAAAUAUGGAUGGGACAUUGGAAUUUCUCACCAUUGCUAGUGAUUGCCCUCACUCACCCCAUUUUUGUAGAAAACUUAUGUUCUAACUUCAACGCUUUACAUAGGGAGCAUCUUCGCAACUAUUAGCUGCUGUAUUUUAGAGAGAGGCCGGUUUUAAACCAACAUUGAGCAAUUUUUGUUAUAGUCACUGAGAAAGAUACUGUUCCAGGCCAUAAGUAUUGGCAGUCCCCACUACUUUUCUGCCAC
rnacentral:sRNA from 2 species